rnacentral:rRNA from 1 species
GUGGAUUAGAUACCCUGGUAGUCCACGCCCUAAACGAUGACGACUAGUUGUUGGAGGAGUUAAAUCCUUUAGUAACGCAGCUAACGCGCGAAGUCGUCCGCCUGGGGAGUACGGUCGCAAGAUUAAAACUCAAAGGAAUUGACGGGGGCCCGCACAAGCGGUGGAUGAUGUGGUUUAAUUCGAUGCAACGCGAAAAACCUUACCUACCCUUGACAUGCUAGGAAUCCUCCAGAGAUGGAGGAGUGCCCGAAAGGGAACCUAGACACAGGUGCUGCAUGGCCGUCGUCAACU